AGUCCCGCAACGAGCGCAACCCUUGAUCUUAGUUGCCAGCAUUCAGUUGGGCACUCUAUGGAAACUGCCGAUGAUAAGUCGGAGGAAGGUGUGGAUGACGUCAAGUCCUCAUGGCCCUUACGGGUUGGGCUACACACGUGCUACAAUGGACGAAACAAUGAGAUGCAAGCUUGUGAAAGUUAGCCAAUCUAUAAAUUCGUUCUAAGUUCGGAUUGUAGGCUGCAACUCGCCUACAUAAAGUUGGAAUCGCUAGUAAUCGCUGGUCAGCUACACAGCGGUGAAUUCGUUCCCGGGCCUUGUACACACCGGCCGUCAAGUCACGAAAGUCGG
rnacentral:rRNA from 1 species